GUAACCGUAAGCUCGCUCUAAUCUGUGAUUCUUCCCUGGAGGUGGAAACUUCAAAUAACUAAUCCAACUCAACACUGUUGACCUAGAAAGACGGCUAGGUACUUGACGUUUCUCUGUUUUUCAAUUGAAUUGUCUACUCAUCCGUCGAUAACGAUGUUCAAUCGGCAAAAACUGUCUGGAUGUUGCAAAGAAACUCAUUUUUCCCCCAUGUUUAAGCCGCACAGCUUUAACUGACCCCAUGCACACGGGACAUGACAAGCCCCCAUGAGUCGACCAUCCACUGAUCAUUCCUAAUGCCGGGAAGUCAUUUAUUGUCCACAGUAAAGCUGCCCUCAUGUCAAAGUUCUGCUUAAGAGAUACAUCAUAAGUUUGAACCCCUUUUUCCCACAACAUCUUCAACUCAUCAACUAACGGC
rnacentral:lncRNA from 1 species